UACGUAGGGUGCAAGCGUUAAUCGGAAUUACUGGGCGUAAAGCGUGCGCAGGCGGUGAUGUAAGACAGAUGUGAAAUCCCCGGGCUCAACCUGGGAACUGCAUUUGUGACUGCAUUGCUGGAGUGCGGCAGAGGGGGAUGGAAUUCCGCGUGUAGCAGUGAAAUGCGUAGAUAUCGCUUGGAACGCCAACGGUGAAAACAGGUUGCUGGGGGUGUGCUGACGCUGAGACACGAAAGCCAGGGGAGCGAACGGG
rnacentral:rRNA from 1 species